rnacentral:rRNA from 1 species
AUUAUGGAGAGUUUGAUCCUGGCUCAGGACGAACGCUGGCGGCGUGCCUAAUACAUGCAAGUCGAGCGGAUCUUCUCCUUCGGGAGAAGGUUAG